AUUGAACGCUGGCGGCAUGCUUUACACAUGCAAGUCGAACGGUAACAGGCCGCAAGGUGCUGACGAGUGGCGAACGGGUGAGUAAUGCAUCGGAACGUGCCCAGUCGUGGGGGAUAACGCAGCGAAAGCUGCGCUAAUACCGCAUACGAUCUAUGGAUGAAAGCGGGGGACCGUAAGGCCUCGCGCGAUUGGAGCGGCCGAUGUCAGAUUAGGUAGUUGGUGGGGUAAAGGCUCACCAAGCCGACGAUCUGUAGCUGGUCUGAGAGGACGACCAGCCACACUGGGACUGAGACACGGCCCAGACUCCUACGGGAGGCAGCAGUGGGGAAUUUUGGACAAUGGGCGCAAGCCUGAUCCAGCAAUGCCGCGUGCAGGAAGAAGGCCUUCGGGUUGUAAACUGCUUUUGUACGGAACGAAACGGUCUGGGUUAAUACCCUGGGCUAAUGACGGUACCGUAAGAAUAAGCACCGGCUAACUACGUGCCAGCCGCCGCUGUAAUAC
rnacentral:rRNA from 1 species